GUGGGGAAUAUUGGACAAUGGGCGCAAGCCUGAUCCAGCAAUGCCGCGUGUGUGAAGAAGGUCUUCGGAUCGUAAAGCACUUUCGACGGGGACGAUGAUGACGGUACCCGUAGAAGAAGCCCCGGCUAACUUCGUGCCAGCAGCCGCGGUAAUACGAAGGGGGCUAGCGUUGCUCGGAAUUACUGGGCGUAAAUGGCGCGUAGGCGGCUCUGUGAGUCAGGCGUGAAAUUCCUGGGCUUAACCUGGGGACUGCGCUUGAUACUGCAGGGCUUGAGGCCGAGAGAGGGUGGUGGAAUUCCCAGUGUAGAGGUGAAAUUCGUAGAUAUUGGGAAGAACACCGGUGGCGAAGGCGACCACCUGGCUCGGUACUGACGCUGAGGCGCGACAGCGUGGGGAGCAAACAGGAUUAGAUACCCCGGUAGUCC
rnacentral:rRNA from 1 species